GAUGAACGCUAGCGGCAGGCUUAACACAUGCAAGUCGAGGGGCAGCAUGAAGGUUAGCAAUAACUUUUGAUGGCGACCGGCGCAAGGGUGCGUAACGCGUGAGCAACUUGCCCGUUUCUGGGGAAUAACCUUUCGAAAGAGAGACUAAAAUCCCAUAGUAUUAAUUAGAGGCAUCUUUAGUUAAUUAAAUCUUCGGAGGUAUAAGAUGGGCAUGCGUAGCAUUAGUUAGAUGGAGAGGUAACGGCUCACCAUGACUACGAUGCUUAGGGGUCCUGAGAGGGAAGACCCCCACACUGGUACUGAGACACGGACCAGACUCCUACGGGAGGCAGCAGUGAGGAAUGUUGGUCAAUGGUCGGAAGACUGAACCAGCCAUGCCGCGUGCAGGAAGAAUGUCUUAUGGAUUGUAAACUGCUUUUGUAUGGGAGUAAUAAGGACUUUGCGAAGUUUGAUGCAAGUACCAUACGAAUAAGGAUCGGCUAACUCCGUGCCAGCAGCCGCGGUAAUAC
rnacentral:rRNA from 1 species